rnacentral:lncRNA from 1 species
AAUCAAACUUCUAUUGGGCCUAAGAUGUUUAGAGAUGUGGAGAGACAUGUAUAGCAAUGCCGAGUGUGACAUUUGGCAAAAACAAUAAGUUGUUUAAGCUUAGUUUCGCAAAAAACUUGGCCGUCAUAAAGUUUGUGCACCGUCGGGAUUUGAUCGGUUUUUUGCACAGUCUCGAAAAUUGAAAAAAUUGAUCAUUAUCAAUUUAUUUGCCCUAGCAAAGUUGUUUGUGCAAGGUUUCACAAAAAAUCGUGUCAGUCAUAAAGUUUGCGCAAAGUCAUGGUUCAAUUGGUUUUCUGCGCACAAUGUCAAAAAUUUAAAAUUUUGACAAUUACCAGCAUAUUAGCAUUAUGGAAGUUGUUUGAGCCUGGUUUUGCCAAAAAACAUGUUUAUAAAAAAGUUUGCGCAUAGUCCAGGUUCGGUCGGUUUUGUGAGCAGAAAAAGCUUGGUUCGAACAGUUUUCUAUUCACUAUAAAGUAACGGUCAUAAAGUUUUCGUAAUGUUUAGAGAUGUGGAGAGACAUGUAUAGCAAUGCCGAGUGUGUCAUUUGGCAAAAACAAGAAGUUAUAUAAGCUUAGUUUCGCAAGAAACAUAGCCGUCAUAAAGUUUGUGCAACGUCGGGAUUCGAUCGGUUUUUUGCACAGUGUCGAAAAUUAAAAAAAAUGAUCAUUAGCAACUUAUUUGCCGUAGCAAAUUUGUUUGUGCAUGCUUUCACAAAAAAUAGUGUCAGUCAUAAAGUUUGCGCAAAGUCAAGGUUCAAUUGGUUUUCUGCGCACCAUCUCAAAAAUUCAAAUUAUUGACAAUUCCCUGCAUAUUAGCAUUAUGGAAGUUGUAUAAGCCAGUUUUCGCAAAAAAAAGUAACGGUCAUAAAGUUUGUACAAAGUUGAGGUUCGAAUAGUUUUUGCGCAUCAUCUUGAAAAUUCAAAAUAUUAACCAUUCUAAACAUAUUAGCCCUAUGGAAGUUGUAAAAGCUUGGUUUCAAAAACAAACUUACAGUGAUAAAUUUGAAUAAAGUCAAUGUUGGAUCGGUUUUCUAUUCACUAUCUCGAAAAUUCAAAAAAUUGAUCAUUCCAAACAUAUUUUGUCCAUGAGAUGUCGUAGGAGCAUAGUUUCAGAAAAAAAACGUGAUAGUUAUAAAAUUUUGCAAUGUCGAGGUUCGAUCGAUUUUUUGCGCAUCGACUCAAAAAUUCAAAAAAUUGAUCACUCCCAACAUAUUUGCCCUAGGGUAGUCAGUAUAAGCAUAGUUUGGGAAAAAAAUGUGACAGUCGUAAACUUUGCGAAAAAUCGAAGUUCGAUUGCUUUUCGCACACCAUCUCGAAAAUUCAAAAUAUUGACCAUUCCCAACAUAUUAGCUCUAUGGAUGUUGUUUAAGCUUGGUUAUGCAACAAAAUUUGACGGUUAUAAAGUUUACGCAGAGUCGAGGUUCGAUCAGUUUUUUUGUGCACUGUCUCGAAUAUUCGAAAUAUUGACCAUUCCAAACAUAUUAGCUCUAGGGAAGUUGUUUUAGCUGGGUUUUGCCAAAAGACGUGACGGUAAUCAAGGUUGCAAAGAGUGAAGGUUCGAUCGGUUUUUUGUGCUCCCUCUCAAAAAUUUAAAAUAUUGACAAUUCCCAAUAUAUUUGCCUUCGGGAAGUCGUAUAUGCUGGGCGUCGUAUGAAAACUUGGCAGUAAUAAAUUUUUAUGGAAAGUCAAGGUGUGAUAGGUUCUUUGUGGACCAUAUCAAAAAUUUAAAAAAUUCAUCAUUCCCAAAAUACUUACCCUUGGGAAGUCCUAUGAGAAUGGUUUCACAGAAAAACAUGACGGUCAUAAAGAUUGCGCAAAGUCAAGGUUCAAUCGGUUUUUUAUGCACCGUCUACAAAUUUUAUUGACCAUUCCCAACAUAUUUGCCAUAGGGAAGUUGUAUAAGCCUGGUUUCGCAAAAAAAAUAUGACGGUUAUAAAGUUUGCUCAAAGUUGAGGUUCGAAUAUUUUUUUACACCAUCUCGAAAAGUCAAAAUAUUGACCAUUCCUAAUAUAUUAACCCAAGAAAAUUUGUACGAGCCAAGUAGGUAGCCCUAGGGAGAAGCAACCAUCGCCCCUGCCACAAGUCACCCUCGCACCCGCCAUUGAUGGCACGGGAGCGCGUGCUGCCCGUGAGGUGCCUUUGCACUCAGUCGCUUCUCGCCGCCUAUCGCAAGGGUCGCCUCCCUACCUCUUCUCUAGCCGAGAACUAUCAAUCAUUGGGAUAUUAGCCCUAGGGAAAGUUAUAAAAGCCUGGAUAAAAAAAAAUAUAUAUUACGGUCAUAAAGUUUUUGGAAAGACGAAGCUCGAUUGGUUUUUUUUGCAUCAUCUCGAAAAUUUAAAAUACAGACCAUUCCCAAAACAUUUUCCCAAGGGAAGUUGUUAAGCUUAGUUUCACAAAAAAAAAUGACGGUCAUAAAGAUUGCCAGAAGCUGGGAAUCGAUUGUUUUUUGUGGACCCUCUAAAAAAAUUAUAAUAUUGACAAUUUCCCUUUUAUUAGCUUUCGGGAAGUUGUUUAAGCUUAGUUUUGCUAUUGUUCAAUCAAACUUCUAUUGGGCCUAAGAAAUUUAGAGAUGUGGGGAGACAUGUAUAGCAAUGCCGAGGGUGUCAUUUGGCAAAAACAAGAAGUUGUAUAAGCUUAGUUUCGCAAGAAACAUGGCCGUCAUUAAGUUUGUGCAACGUCGGAAUUUUAUCUGUUUUUUGCACAGUCUCGAAAAUUUUAAAAAUUGAUCAUUAUCAACUUAUUUGCCCUAGCAAAGUUGUUUGUGCAAGGUUUCACAAAAAAUAAUGUCAGCCAUAAAGUUUGCGCAAAGUCAUGGUUCAAUUGGUUUUCUGCGCACCAUCUCAAAAAUUUAAAAUAUUCACAAUUCCCAGCAUAUUAGAAUUAUGGAAGUUGUUUGAGCCUGGUUUUGCAAAAAAACAUGUUAAUCAAAAAGUUUGCGCGUAGUCCUGGUUCGGUCGGUUUUGUGAACAGAAAAAGCUUGGUUCGAACAGUUUUCUAUUCACCAUAAAGUAACGGUCAUAAAGUUUUCGCAAUGUCUAGAGAUAUGGAGAGACAUGUAUAGCAAUGCCGAGUGUGUCAUUUGGCAAAAGCAAGAAGUUAUAUAAGCUUAGUUUCGCAAGAAACAUGGCCAUCAUAAAGUUUGUGCAACGUCGGAACUUGAUCGGUUUUUUGCACAGUCUCGAAAAUUCAAAAAAUUUAUCAUUAUCAAAUUAUUUGCCCUCGCAAAUUUGUUUGUGCAUGGUUUCAAAAAAAUAGUGUCAGUCAUAAAGUUUGCGCAAAGUCAUAGUUCAAUUGGUUUUCUGCGUACCAUCUCAAAAAUUCAAAAUAUUGACAAUUCUCAGCAUAUUAGCAUUAUGGAAGUUGUAUAAGCCAGUUUUCACAAAAAAAAGUAACGGUCAUAAAGUUUGUACAAAGUCGAGGUUCGAACAGUUUUUGUGCAUCGUUUUAAAAAUUCAAAAUAUUAACCAUUCCAAACAGAUUUGCCCUAAGGAAGUUUUAAAAGCUUGGUUUCAAAAACAAACUUAUAGUCAUAAAUUUUGAAUAAAGUCAAUGUUAGAUCGGUUUUCUAUUCACUAUCUUGAAAAUUCAAAAAAUUGAUCAUUCCAAACAUAUUUUGUCCAUCAGACGUCGUAGGAGCAUAGUUUCAGAAAAAAAACGUGAUAGUUAUAAAGUUUUUGCAAUGUCGAGGUUCGAUCGAUUUUUUGCGCAUCAUCUCAAAAAUUUAAAAAAUUAAUCACUCCCAACAUAUUUGCCCUAGGGUAGUCAGUAUAAGCAUAGUUUGGGAAAAAAAUGUGACAGUCAUAAACUUUGCGAAAAAUCGAAGUUCGAUUGUUUUUCGUACACCAUCUCGAAAAUUCAAAAUAUUGACCAUUCCCAACAUAUUAGCUCCAUGGAUGUUGUUUAAGUUUGGUUAUGAACAAAAUAUGACGGUUAUAAAGUUUACGCAGAGUCGAGGUUCGAUCAGUUUUUUGUGCACCGUCUCGAAUAUUCGAAAUAUUGACCAUUCCAAACAUAUUAGCUCUAGGGAAGUUGUUUAAGCUGGGUUUUGCCAAAAGACGUGAUGGUAAUCAAGUUUGCAAAGAGUGAAGGUUCGAUCGGUUUUUUGUGCUCCCUCUCAAAAAAUAUAAAAUAUUGACAAUUCCCAAUAUAUUUGCCUUCGGGAUGUCGUAUAUGCUGGGCUUCGUAAGAAAACAUGGCAGUCAUAAAUUUUGUGCAAAGUCAAGGUGUGAUAGGUUCUUUGUACACCAUCUCAAAAAUUCAAAAAAUUCAUCAUUCCCAAAAUAUUUACCCUAGGGAAGUCCUAUGAGAAUGGUUUAGCUGAAAAACAUAACAGUCAUAAAGAUUGCGCAAAGUCAAGGUUCAAUCGGUUUUUAAUGCACCGUCUACAAAUUUUAUUGACCAUUCCCAACAUAUUUUCCUUAGGGAAGUUGUAUAAGCCUGGUUUUGCAAAAACAAUAUGACGGUUAUAAAGUUUGCUCAAAGCUGAGGUUCGAAUAUUUUUUUUGCCCCAUCUCGAAAAGUCAAAAUAUUGACCAUUCCCAACAUAUUAACCCAAGAAAAUUUGUACGAGCCAAGUAGGUAGCCCAAGGGAGAAGCAACCAUCGCCCUUGCCACAAGUCACCCUCGCACUCGCCAUUGAUGGCACGGGAGCGCGUGCUGCCCGUGAGGUGCCCUUGCACUCAGUCGCUUCUCGCCGCCUAUCUCAAGGGUUGCCUCCCUACCUCUUCUCGAGCCGAGAACUAUCAAUCAUUGGGAUAUUAGCCCUAGGGAAAGUUGUAAAAGCCUGGAUUAAAAAAAAAUAUAUUACAGUCAUAAAGUUUUUGAAAAGUCGAAGCUCGAUUGGUUUUUUGUGCAUAAUCUCGAAAAUUUAAAAUACAGACCAUUCCCAACACAUUUUCCCAAGGGAAGUUGUUAAGCUUAGUUUCACAAAAAAAAAUGACGGUCAUAAAGAUUGACCGAAGCUGAGAAUCGUUUGUUUUUUGUGGACCCUCUAAAAAAUUUACAAUAUUGACAAUUCCCCUUUUAUUAGCUUUCGGGAAGUUGUUUAAGCUUAGUUUUGCUCUUGUUCAAUCAAACUUCUAUUGGGCCUAAGAUUGUUAGAGAUGUGGAGAGACAUGUCUAGCAAUGCCGAGUGUGUCAUUUGGCAAAAACAAGAAGUUGUAUAAGCUUAGUUUCGCAAAAAACAUUGCCGUCAUAAAGUUUGUGCAACGUCGUGAUUUGAUCGGUUUAUUGCACUGUCUCGAAAAUUCAAAAAAUUGAUCAUUAUCAAUUUAUUUGCCCUAGCAGAGUUGUUUGUGCAAGGUUUCACAAAAAAUAGUGUCAAUCAUAAAGUUUGCGCAAAGUCAUGGUUCAAUUAGUUUUCUGCGCACCAUCUCAAAAAUUCAAAAUAUUGACAAUUCCCAGCAUAUUAGCAUUAUGGAAGUUGUUUGAGCCUGGUUUUGCAAAAAAACAUUUUAAUAAAAAAGUUUGCGCAUAGUCCAGGUUCGGUCGGUUUUGUGAGCAGAAAAAGCUUGGUUCAAACAGUUUUCUAUUCACCAUNNNNNNNNNNNNNNNNNNNNNNNNNNNNNNNNNUAAAGUUUGCGCAAAGUCAAGGUUCAAUUGGUUUUCUGCGCACCAUCUCAAAAAUUCAAAAUAUUGACAAUUCCCAGCAUAUUUGCAUUAUGGAAGUUGUAUAAGCCAGUUUUUGAAAAAAAAGUAGCGGCCAUAAAGUUUGUACAAAGUCGAGGUUUGAACAGUUUUUGAGCAUCGUCUUGAAAAUUCACAAUAUUAACCAUUCCAAACAUAUUAGCCCGAAGGAAGUUGUAAAAGCUUGGUUUCAAAAACAAACUUAUAGUCAUAAAUUUGAAUAAAUUCAAUGUUGGAUCGGUUUUCUAUUCAUUAUCUCGAAAAUUCAAAAAAUUGAUCAUUCUAAAUAUAUUUUGUCCAUGAGAUAUCGUACGAGCAUAGUUUAAAAAAAAACACGUAAUAGUUAUAAAGUUUUUGCAAUGUCGAGGUUCGAUCGAUUUUUUACGCAUCGUCUCAAAAAUUCAAAAAAUUGAUCACUCCCAACAUAGUUGCCCUAGGGUAGUCAGUAUAAGCAUAGUUUGGGAAAAAAAUGUGACAGUCAUAAACUUUGCGAAAAAUCGAAGUUCGAUUGUUUUUCGCAUACCAUCUCGAAAAUUCAAAAUAUUGACCAUUCCCAACAUAUUAGCUCCAUGGAUGUUGUUUAAGCUUUGGUUAUGCAACAAAAUUUGACGGUUAUAAAGUUUACGCAGAGUCGAGGUUCGAUCAGUUUUUUGUGCACCGUCUCGAAUAUUCGAAAUAUUAACCAUUCCAAACAUAUUAGCUCUAGGGAAGUUGUUUAAGCUGGGUUUUGCCAAAAUACGUGACGGUAAUCAAGUUUGCAAAGAGUGAAGGUUCGAUCGGUUUUUUAUGCUCCCUCUCAAAAAUUUAAAAUAUUGACAAUUCCCAAUAUAUUUGCCUUCGGGAAGUCGUAUAUGCUGGGCUUCGUAAGAAAACGUGGCAGUCAUAAAUUUUUGUGGAAAGUCUGGGUGUGAUAGGUUCAUUGUGGACCAUCUCAAAAAUUCAAAAAAAUUGAUCAUUCCCAAAAUACUUACCCUUGGGAAGUCCUAUGAUAAUGGUUUCACAGAAAAACAUGACGGUCAUAAAGAUUGCGCAAAGUCAGGGUUCAAUCGGUUUUUUAUGCACUGUCUACAAAUUUUAUUGACCAUUCCCAACAUAUUUGCUUUAGGGAAGUUGUAUAAGCUUGGUUUCGCAAAAAAAAAUAUGACGGUUAUAAAGUUUGCUCAAAGUUGAGGUUCGAAUAUUUUUUUUACACCAUCUCGAAAAGUCAAAAUAUUGGCCAUUCCCAACAUAUUAACCCAAGAAAAUUUGUACGAGCCAAGUAGGUAGCCCAAGGGAGAAGCAACCAUCGCCCUUGCCACAAGUCACCCUCGAACCCGCCAUUGAUGGCACGGGAGGGCGUGCUGCCCGAGAGGUGCCCUUGCACUCAGUCGUUAUUCGCCGCCUAUCGCAAGGGUCGCCUCCCUACCUCUUCACUAGCCGAGAACUAUCAAUCAUUGCGAUAUUUGCCCUAGGGAAAGUUGUAAAAGCCUGGAUUAAAAAAAAAUAUAUUACGGUCAUAAAAUUUUUGCAAAGUCGAAGCUCGAUUGGUUUUUUGUGCAUCAUCUCGAAAAUUUAAAAUACAGACCAUUCCCAACACAUUUUCCCAAAGGAAGUUGUUUAGCUUACUUUCACAAUAAAAAAUGACGGUCAUAAAGAUUGCCCGAAGCUGAGAAUCGAUUGUUUUUUGUGGACCCUCUAAAAA